rnacentral:misc_RNA from 1 species
GUUCAUAAACGUUUGCACAGUCCAAUUACAACUGCCGAAGCAUAUCCACAUAUUUUACAUCAAAUUGGCUGACUAAAAUAAGUUGUUUGUUUCUAUUUUACACGGGCAGAGGAUAUUCUUAAUACUAUCAUUGAUCCAUCAACAUUGAACUUACAGGUUCAAUUCUUCCUUCCCAUAUAUUCGCUGGAGCUCUCGAGUUGCAGCUUGAAAUGAUUCUUUCCAGAUCUGGAAAGAUUUUUGAUUGAUGGGGGAACCAGUCACGGUUUGAAUUGCUUCGAACAACAAACUUUGUGGCGUGCUCCUUAGCUCCUGGGUUAUCUGGUAGAUGGUUUUCCCAUUCUCAAAGUAUAUGUGAUUGUUAGGGUGCUUUGUCUUGCAACCAGCAUGACGCUCAAACUCAUAGGCAUUAAGCACCUUUGAAUAGUUACAUGGUUGACAACCACAUAGGUAUCCAGAACCUUUUAUAAUACCACGAAGCUCCUGCCGGGACAAGACGUAUUUUACAGGAACACCGUCAAGAAUUCCUGUUGCUAACAAACUUCUAACAUUCGAAGGAAAGCUAUUAGGAGCACCUUUAUGUGCAGGUUUAGACUCCGAUUUGGUUUUUGGCAAGGAAUCAGUCCUAGGUUUUGAUGUCUGAGAGGAGAAAUCAACUGCACUACCAUUUGAUCCAUCCAGCUGCUUGUCACAAUGUGAUUCUGAUGCGUCAACUGACGAUUGAUAAUGUAAAUAAUCGUAACCGCUAAUUGGCCUUGCCAGAGCAUCAAUAUCAGACACCAAUUCGAAUCCAAAUAUUGUGUCGGAAUCCCCUCUGGUAUAUGAAUCAGCAAUUGGUGUAGUGCUGUGACUUUUCUCAACAUUGGAUCUGAUGGAUCUACUUAUAUCUCCAGGAUUGUAGGUUUGACUUUCAUCUUCCUUCCCAUAUGCCUGACCCAUGGAUAGAAAG